AUGCAGGCGGAGUCGGCGCUGCUCUCCACCAACGCAGCGGUGGCUUGGUUCGAGGGAGCCCGCGAGGAUGUCCCAUGCCACGCCGUCGCAGCUGCGUUCGCCUCCACCUUUGGCUUCCGUCAGGCGGACGUGAGUGUGGUGCGGCACUUCCCAGAGCAGUAUCUCGUCAGGUUUAUGUACCAGCACAACUGUGCCGACGCGGUCAGCCGCGGCGAAUUCCUCGUCGGCAACUCCUCCCUCUUCGUCCGCGCUUGGAGGCUCGAGGCGCACGCUGACAAUGAGGACAUGAUGCACCACGUUCGCCUGUGCAUCGAGGGGAUUCCUGUCCAUGGCUGGAACGAGUACGUCGCCGCGUUAGUCAUCGGCCGUGGGUGCUCCCUCGACUACAUCGAGCAGAAGUCGCUGCGCCGGGAGGAUACGCGCUACCUGGCGCUCUGGGCGUGGACGUCCAACCCCAACGCCAUUCCAAAAGUGAAGUGGCUCACGCUGCCCGCCCGCGGUCUCCGGCGCCGUGGCCGACGCGGCCUGCAUCACCGCGUGUUGAUCCACCUUGAUCUGCAUGAGGACCACUCCAAGGCUCACGACGACGACGACGACCCGCCGCCAGCUGACAUCUUCGAGUUCACCUGGUUCCCCCGUAUGGUGGACGGCACGGCACGGCGAGGCGAUCGUUGUGCUGGACAGCCUUGCGGCGAGUGGCGCCCGGCACGGCGCGAUGACGACAACGACCGCGGCGGCCGCCGCGGGCGGGAUGGCCCGCGUGCGCAGGACGGAUGGCGCGACCGCAUCCGCCGCUCCCUCUCCAGGGGCGCUCGCGACCGUCAGCGCCAGGAUGGUCAGGACCGCUCCCGCGAUCGCUCGAGCGGCACGGGUGGGAGGCGUCGUGGGGUUGGACUUGGGAACGCGGAUGUCGCUGCGGCGCCUCCGCACUAG
rnacentral:rRNA from 1 species